rnacentral:rRNA from 1 species
GGCGGACGGGUGAAGUAAUAUAUAGAUAACGUGCCUCUUAGUCUGGGAUAGCCAUUGGAAACGAUGAUUAAUACUAGAUACUCCUUCUUAUCACAUGAUAAGUCGGGAAAGUUUUUUCGCUAAGAGAUCGGUCUAUAUCGCAUCAGUUAGUUGGUGGGGUAACGGCCUACCAAGGCAAUGACGCGUAGCGGGUUUGAGAGGAUGAUCCGCCACACUGGUACUGAGACACGGACCAGACUCCUACGGGAGGCAGCAGUGAGGAAUAUUGCACAAUGGGGGAAACCCUGAUGCAGCAACGCCGCGUGGAGGAUGACGCAUUUCGAUGUGUAAACUCCUUUUAUGAGUCAAGAAGAUGACGGUAGCUCAUGAAUAAGCACCGGCUAACUCCGUGCCAGCAGCCGCGGUAAUACGGAGGGUGCAAGCGUUACUCGGAAUCACUGGGCGUAAAGGACGCGUAGGCGGGUUAUCAAGUCAGGUGUGAAAUCCUAUGGCUCAACCAUAGAACUGCACUUGAAACUGGUAACCUAGAGUAUGGGAGGGGCAGAUGGAAUUAGUAGUGUAGGGGUAAAAUCCGUAGAUAUUACUAGGAAUACCGAAAACGAAGGCGAUCUGCUGGAACAUUACUGACGCUAAGGCGUGAAAGCGUGGGGAGCAAACGGGAUUAGAUACCCCGGUAGUCCACGCCCUAAACGAUGAACACUAGUCGUCGGGGAGCUAGUCUCUUCGGUGAUGCACUUAACAGAUUAAGUGU